UUUUUUUUUUUUAUUCAAAUUAUUAUUUUUUUUGUCUACUUAAUAAACUCAUUAUAUAUUUGUGUUUUUCUUGUGCCUUUGUGUAAUAGCUAUUUGAAUCAUGGUUAGUUUUACUACAAUCUGUUUAUUUUGUAGAAUUUUUGUCUUCUUUAUGUACUAUACCAUAAAAUGCAUAAAAAGUUGUCAUACAAGCUUCAAAAAACUAUCCCUAUAACAAAAACAUACACCUUAUCUUUACUUUCUGUUUAUGUUAUAGCACACAAGCCUGUCAGCACUGAUAAAAAAAUUAAAU
rnacentral:lncRNA from 1 species